rnacentral:rRNA from 1 species
GACGAACGCUGGCGGCGUGCUUAACACAUGCAAGUCGAACGGUGAAGCCUUCGGGUGGAUCAGUGGCGAACGGGUGAGUAACACGUGAGCAACCUGCCUCUGACUCUGGGAUAACCCCCGGAAACGGGUGCUAAUACCGGAUAUGACCUCCUGUCGCAUGGUGGGGGGUGGAAAGUUUUUCGGUCAGGGAUGGGCUCGCGGCCUAUCAGCUUGUUGGUGGGGUGAUGGCCUACCAAGGCGGUGACGGGUAGCCGGCCUGAGAGGGCGACCGGCCACACUGGGACUGAGACACGGCCCAGACUCCUACGGGAGGCAGCAGUGGGGAAUAUUGCGCAAUGGGCGAAAGCCUGACGCAGCGACGCCGCGUGGGGGAUGAAGGCCUUCGGGUUGUAAACCUCUUUCAGCGCCGAAGAAGCGAGAGUGACGGUAGGCGCAGAAGAAGCACCGGCUAACUACGUGCCAGCAGCCGCGGUAAUACGUAGGGUGCAAGCGUUGUCCGGAAUUAUUGGGCGUAAAGAGCUCGUAGGCGGUUUGUCGCGUCUGCUGUGAAAACUCGGGGCUUAACCCCGGGCUUGCAGUGGGUACGGGCAGACUAGAGUGUGGUAGGGGAGACUGGAAUUCCUGGUGUAGCGGUGAAAUGCGCAGAUAUCAGGAGGAACACCGGUGGCGAAGGCGGGUCUCUGGGCCAUAACUGACGCUGAGGAGCGAAAGCGUGGGGAGCGAACAGGAUUAGAUACCCUGGUAGUCCACGCCGUAAACGUUGGGCGCUAGGUGUGGGGCCCUUUCCACGAGUUCCGUGCCGCAGCUAACGCAUUAAGCGCCCCGCCUGGGGAGUACGGCCGCAAGGCUAA